ensembl:lncRNA
UAUUCUGGUGUUAAAUCGCUUUUUACUAUCUUGUGAGAGCCGUCCCUGCCGCAGUUAAACUAACUCAGAUGAAAUAGCAUCAGGCUGCAGGGAGCUGACCGUCAGCUCCAGCGCUUCCCGUGUAGUUGAGGCUUGAAGUUGGAGGAUCCAUAUUGUACGAAAUGUCCCGUUAAAGCUAUUUCUUGAUCCAUCAACUAAAGGAUGUUAUUCAUGAAUGCUAGUUUCAGUGUCCUUUAUUGCCCUUUUAUAUCGUUGACUGAUGUAGCCCCGCGUUGAUGUAUGCUCCGUCUAUCACACAUUUUUAGGUUUUCCAGAUUACCCCCAUCUGUGUUGAGAAGUUAUCGUGGCCUGCCUGCCUGUUCGUGUCUUCAUGGGAUUAGCUGGCUGUGAGGUGGUCGUUAAAGAAUAUUAACCUGUUGAUUAAUCGGGUAUUGCUUGAGGUAUUAUUCACUUCUCUUUCUACUCCUCUUUCACGACUACUAUGUGCCUACUACAGAUUACAGCUAUUGACACCCAUUUGGCUCUUAAUUCUGGGAAAAUGCUGAAUUCGUAUUUGCAGACAUUGAUUAUGAAUUGCACGCAUUUCCAUGUACUUGACAGACUUCCAACGCCUCAGGCUUUUUUUUUUGUUUACGAUGAUUCAUAAUCCAAUGAGCAGCAGAAUAACAGGCUAGGCAGACAGUGUUUGUAACCAGUGUUUUUCCAUUCUGAAUAUGAAGUGCAUUUUCAACUACUAUAAACUGCAGAAGUGGGUUGUGUUCAACGCAUGAUCAUUACUCAUGUGAGUGUAUGUAGAAAUGCACUCUCAGAAUUGGAAUGAUGCAACAUGUUGCCAACAACACAUACUUGUCAUUCGCAACUUGUAGUGCUGCACAAUCUCAUGCAUUGUAAUGCUUCUAAAUAUAUCUCUCUGUUCGGUUCAAGAAUGGAGCAUAUAGGCCUAUUUAUAUAAUAUAUAUAGAUACACUUUACUAUACUUUAUAUAUGCAGUCUGCCCAGCUUAUCUUGUGUGGUCCCUGUGCAGACUCAGUUUCCCCAUGCUUAGCAUUUACAGUUUAUGAUCUUUGAUUUUGUUAAGAAUGAGAACCAGAUGUUCGGCCCUAGAUUUGCAAUUUUCUUAAAGAGGCAUAGUCAAAAUAGCCUCUGAUUAGUAAUCAAAAGAGAAAGGAAUACGAUGUGCACAAUCCGCGUCUGAUUU